rnacentral:rRNA from 1 species
UUUGACAUACAAGUAGUAGGAAGGAAACUGGACCGACCCUUCGGGGAGCUUGCACAGGUGCUGCAUUGGCUGUCGUCAGCUCGUGUCGUGAGAUGUUCGGUUAAGUCCGCUAACGAGCGCAACCCUCGCUGUGUGUUAUAUGUGUCACACGGGACUGCCGGUCUUAAGCCGGAGGAAGGUGGGGAUGAUGUCAAGUCAGCAUGGCCUUUAUAUCCUGGGCUACACACACGCUACAAUGGCCAACACAAUAGGUUGCUAAGCCGCGAGGUGGCGCCAAUCCAUAAAGUUGGUCUCAGUUCAGAUUGUAGGCUGCAACCCGCCUGCAUGAAGAUGGAGUUGCUAGUAACCGCAGGUCAGCUAUACUGCGGUGAGUACGUUCCCGGGGCUU